rnacentral:rRNA from 1 species
CGAACCGGAUUAAUACCCGGGUAGUCCCGGCUGUAAACGAUGCGGGCCAGGUGUUGGGCGGGCUUUGAGCCCGCCCAGUGCCGCAGGGAAGCCGUUAAGCCCGCCGCCUGGGGAGUACGGCCGCAAGGCUGAAACUUAAAGGAAUUGGCGGGGGAGCACCACAAGGGGUGGAGCCUGCGGCUUAAUUGGAGUCAACGCCGGGAAUCUUACCGGGGGCGACAGCAGGAUGACGGCCAGGCUAACGACCUUGCCUGACGCGCUGAGAGGAGGUGCAUGGCCGUCGCCAGCUCGUGCCGUGAGGCGUCCGGUUAAGUCCGGCAACGAGCGAGAUCCCCACCCCCAGUUGCUAUCCCGGUCUCUGGACCGGGAGCACACUGGGGGGACUGCCGCCGAUAAGGCGGAGGAAGGAGGGGGCCACGGCAGGUCAGCAUGCCCCGAAUCCCCCGGGCUGCACGCGGGCUACAAUGGCGGGGACAGCGGGUGCCGACCCCGAAAGGGGGAGGUAAUCCUUGAAACCCCGCCAUGGUUGGGAUCGAGGGCUGAAACUCGCCCUCGUGAACGUGGAAUCCCUAGUAACCGCGCGU